CCUACGGGUGGCAGCAGUGAGGAAUAUUGGUCAAUGGGCGAGAGCCUGAACCAGCCAAGUCGCGUGAGGGAAGACGGUCCUAUGGAUUGUAAACCUCUUUUGUCGGGGAGCAAAAAGGCCUCGUGAGGCCACAAGUGAGAGUACCCGAAGAAAAAGCAUCGGCUAACUCCGUGCCAGCAGCGGCGGUAAUACGGGGGAUGCGAGCGUUAUCCGGAUUUGUUGGGUUUAAGGGGAGCGCAGGCGGAAGAUCAAGUCAGCGGUAAAAUUGAGAGGCUCAACCUCGUCGAGCCGUUGAAACUGGUUUUCUUGAGUGAGUGAGAGGUAUGCGGAAUGCGUGGUGUAGCGGUGAAAUGCAUAGAUAUCACGCAGAACUCCGAUUGCGAAGGCAGCGUACCGGCGCCCAACUGACGCUGAAGCACGAAGGCGUGGGUAUCGAACAGGAUUAGAUACCCUGGUAGUC
rnacentral:rRNA from 1 species